GGUACCUACAGAAGAAGUCCCGGCAAACUCCGUGCCAGCAGCCGCGGUAAUACGGAGGGGGCAAGCGUUGUUCGGAAUUAUUGGGCGUAAAGGGCAUGUAGGCGGUUUGGUAAGUUAAAGGUGAAAUACCAGGGCUUAACCCUGGGGCUGCUUUUAAUACUGCAGGACUAGAGUCCGGAAGAGGAUAGCGGAAUUCCUAGUGUAGAGGUGAAAUUCGUAGAUAUUAGGAGGAACACCAGUGGCGAAGGCCGCUGUCUGGUCCGGGACUGACGCGGAGGUGCGAAAGCUGGGGGUGGAAACUGGAUUAAAUACCCUGGUAGUCCACGCUGUAAACGAUGAGUGCU
rnacentral:rRNA from 1 species